UUCACAGGCCCAGAUUCACUAACGCCUCGCAGAUACGACAAUCUUAAGUGGAUCCAAUAUGGCGGAAAUAAGAAUGUCGUAUCUUGCGAUUCACAAAAAAAUCUUAAGUCCGCCAUGUUUAGAUUUUCCUGCCUUAACGCUGUUUCACACUCCCGCCGACAGACGGCGUAGUGUGUUAUUGACAUAUGAUAUUUCGUUCAACUAAUGGCAGCGCUCGAUACAUACGUACUCAAUAGACAGUAGCCAAUCACAGGAACCUCAACACAAGUGCAGCACGUGGCCUGUGACAGAGGCAGGCGAUGUUGUCUGCCCCGCCGGGAGUACGGAGAUGAAGUGAGGAAGUUCAGGAGACUGAGUAUCACCUGUAAGUGUAAUGGGUGCUACAACACCUAGCAGCCCAUAUGUCCCAGCAGUGGUGCAGCAUCGGACCCUUAAACUUCCAGGCAGGAGACACAAGAUAAAAGAUUCUGAAGAAGCAAGACCAAGCAUAUAUUACUGGAUAGUUUGCAGAAAUGUGUAGAUUUCCUUGAAUAGUUUCAACCAGAAUGACUGCAAUAGCUGGAGCUUUUCAGGACUUUGUUGAAUAUUGCAGGGCAUGAAAUUCUGUAUUUCUUAUGCAUCAUUAAAGGUCUCUUUU